AUGACGUGAUGUGGACAUUUAUAAAUUAGAUCUUUGAGUCUCUCUCAAGUCUCAUAGAACAUUUCCCCAUCCAUUUGGGAAAAAUUGAUAAUGGUUUUUCUAAUCUA